GAUGAACGCUGGCGGCGUGCUUAACACAUGCAAGUCGAACGAUGAAGCCCAGCUUGCUGGGUGGAUUAGUGGCGAACGGGUGAGUAACACGUGAGUAACCUGCCCUUAACUCUGGGAUAAGCCUGGGAAACUGGGCCUAAUACCGGAUAGGAGCGCCUACCGCAUGGUGGGUGUUGGAAAGAUUUAUCGGUUUUGGAUGGACUCGCGGCCUAUCAGCUUGUUGGUGAGGUAAUGGCUCACCAAGGCGACGACGGGUAGCCGGCCUGAGAGGGUGACCGGCCACACUGGGACUGAGACACGGCCCAGACUCCUACGGGAGGCAGCAGUGGGGAAUAUUGCACAAUGGGCGAAAGCCUGAUGCAGCGACGCCGCGUGAGGGAUGACGGCCUUCGGGUUGUAAACCUCUUUCAGUAGGGAAGAAGCGAAAGUGACGUUACCUGCAGAAGAAGCACCGGCUAACUACGUG
rnacentral:rRNA from 1 species